rnacentral:rRNA from 1 species
GACGAACGCUGGCGGCGUGCUUAACACAUGCAAGUCGAACGCUGAAGCUCAGCUUUUGUUGGGUGGAUGAGUGGCGAACGGGUGAGUAACACGUGAGUAACCUGCCCCCUUCUUUGGGAUAACGCCCGGAAACGGGUGCUAAUACUGGAUAUUCACUGGUCUUCGCAUGGGGGUUGGUGGAAAGGGUUUUUCUGGUGGGGGAUGGGCUCGCGGCCUAUCAGCUUGUUGGUGGGGUGAUGGCCUACCAAGGCUUUGACGGGUAGCCGGCCUGAGAGGGUGACCGGUCACAUUGGGACUGAGAUACGGCCCAGACUCCUACGGGAGGCAGCAGUGGGGAAUAUUGCACAAUGGGCGCAAGCCUGACGCAGCGACGCCGCGUGAGGGAUGGAGGCCUUCGGGUUGUGAACCUCUUUCGCUCAUGGUCAAGCCGCAACAAUGGUUGUGGUGAGGGUAGUGGGUAAAGAAGCGCCGGCUAACUACGUG